GGAAGACCACGUUCAUCUGAGCCAGCAACGCCGGCUUUCAGGGGAGCCCCUGAGACCUGGUGCCCGCAGCUCACAGAUUCAGGCUGGCUCACUGGGGCUGCCCCUGUGCCCAUGAUGGGGAUGGGGAUGCCGAGGCCCAGUGGAAUCUCCCAGGCCCAGGAUGCCGGUAGCAAUGGCUGUCCUUGCCCCAUGCUCCAGGUUUUUGCCAGGGCAGUUCUUCAUCUCUCCUGAUAACGGACGUCUUCAAGUCUCAAGACUCUUCCAGCGACCACCUCCUCCCAGCAACCUGCCCGGUCAGACCCUACUUCUGAGUUGGCUCGGGCUAGGGGUGCCCCAGUCUCCUUCCGGCUCCCCCACACUGGAGUCCCUUGAGGACAAAGCCUGGAACCGGAGCCUUGGAGCCCCCAACCUCCAAGGCCAGGCCCUGACCAUGUUUCCUGCGAGCGUUCCCAACUAUCCACCUUUUGGGUCAGCUCCAGUGGUGGAAACUUUCCAGCCGGAGGAGGCCGCUUGUUUUGGAAAGUUCCUGGGGGAGCCGCCCCCGCCCGCCCGCCGGGUUCCCACGCUCCCUUAUCACUGGGUGCUAGGGGGGCGCAGUGCUGUGCCUGCCUAGCUCCUCCCCAGCUGACCUCCUUGGCCCUGCCCCCUCCCUUCCCCUCCUCUCCCCACCGAACACUGGCCCCCUUCAGCCAGGCCCUGCCAAGCCCUCCUGCUACAGGUAGGGAAACCCAGGCCUCGCAGCGCCGCCUACACACUCCGUGUGAGCCCUGUCAGGCGUGCCUGGUGGGGUAGUCCCGCUCAGGAAGGGGGAGCAGAGGCGGCCGCUGCUGGGGGAGGGCCUGGCUGUGGAGUCUGAGCCCCGGCUCAGUCUUUGGCUCCAGUUUGCGCUGCAGUGUCUCGGACCCAGGUGCCCAGCCCUCCUGCCCAGCUCCACCUCCUGCCUGGUGGCUGGGCCUGGCGCUCUCUUC
rnacentral:lncRNA from 1 species